rnacentral:rRNA from 1 species
AGACCCGAAACCCGGUGAUCUAGCCAUGGGCAGGUUGAAGGUUGGGUAACACUAACUGGAGGACCGAACCGACUAAUGUUGAAAAAUUAGCGGAUGACCUGUGGCUGGGGGUGAAAGGCCAAUCAAACCGGGAGAUAGCUGGUUCUCCCCGAAAGCUAUUUAGGUAGCGCCUCGUGAAUUCAUCUCCGGGGGUAGAGCACUGUUUCGGCUAGGGGGCCAUCCCGGCUUACCAACCCGAUGCAAACUGCGAAUACCGGAGAAUGUUAUCACGGGAGACACACGGCGGGUGCUAACGUCCGUCGUGAAGAGGGAAACAACCCAGACCGCCAGCUAAGGUCCCAAAGUCAUGGUUAAGUGGGAAACGAUGUGGGAAGGCCCAGACAGCCAGGAUGUUGGCUUAGAAGCAGCCAUCAUUUAAAGAAAGCGUAAUAGCUCACUGGUCGAGUCGGCCUGCGCGGAAGAUGUAACGGGGCUAAACCAUGCACCGAAGCUGCGGCAGCGACGCUGAUGCGUUGUUGGGUAGGGGAGCGUUCUGUAAGCCUGCGAAGGUGGCCUGUGAGGGUUGCUGGAGGUAUCAGAAGUGCGAAUGCUGACAUAAGUAACGAUAAAGCGGGUGAAAAGCCCGCUCGCCGGAAGACCAAGGGUUCCUGUCCAACGUUAAUCGGGGCAGGGUGAGUCGACCCCUAAGGCGAGGCCGAAAGGCGUAGUCGAUGGGAAACGGGUUAAUAUUCCCGUACUUGGUGUUACUGCGAAGGGGGGACGGAGAAGGCUAUGUUGGCCGGGCGACGGUUGUCCCGGUUUAAGCGUGUAGGCUGGUUUUCCAGGCAAAUCCGGAAAAUCAAGGCUGAGGCGUGACGACGAGGCACUACGGUGCUGAAGCAACAAAUGCCCUGCUUCCAGGAAAAGCCUCUAAGCAUCAGGUAACAUCAAAUCGUACCCCAAACCGACACAGGUGGUCAGGUAGAGAAUACCAAGGCGCUUGAGAGAACUCGGGUGAAGGAACUAGGCAAAAUGGUGCCGUAACUUCGGGAGAAGGCACGCUGACAUGUA